CCUGAGUCUGCUUCUCCCAGAGCUUCUGCACAGCAGCAGGAGAUCAAGUGCUUGUUCAGGCCAUCCUCCAUCCUGGCUGCAGCAGGCACUCCGAGGGAGAAGAAGACAUUGGGAGAGAGGCUGGCUCUGACACUCACGCCACGUAACAGCGCUUCAGAGAAAAGGCCAGCUCCCCUGUCCUCUGCAGCCAGCACUGAGCACAUCCCAGCCUCGGCACCUGCUGGAACCCUCGGCAAAACAACCCAUGACAGCAGCAAGGCCACAUCACCCAGCUGCCCUCCUGCAGCUCAGGGAGGAGCAGGCUCUGUGCCCAGCUCUGGGGCAGGAAGGGAAUUUGCCUGUCUGAGGCUGAGCCCUGGGUUGUGGCCAGCAGCCCCAGAUGUGGGCACGGAGCAAUCCUGCUCCCAGCCAUGGGGUUCUCACGUGCUCCACAGCUUUCCCAUGGAUAUAAACCCAUUAAUAAAAGAUCACUUUGGAGACACAGCUCGCUGUAGAUGACAGCAUUAGAGGCACAUCAGCUUCUCCUAAAGCUCAGUCUCGUGCUGGGUUUAUUUGGUCCAUUUGUGGCAGGGGAAGAGUUGCUUUCGGCAUUCAGAGAUGUCUUGUGUCUGGGAGAAGUAGCGGGGUGAGAUAUAUUUUUGGCUCUAUUUAGCCACAAAAAUUUGGAUUUAGAAUAAAGAGAAAUAUUCCUGUUUGCUGCCAAACUGAGGCAGACGAUUUCUUGUGCAAGCCUUCGUUUGUUUGAGGACUUGGUGUCCUGUUGUAAAAAUAAAUGCUCUGAUGGGAAAAGUCUAUCAGGGUGUGCUGAUCAGUCAUUGGGAGUGGUGGGCUCACAAACAUCAGCUCCAACCUAACUGCAAAAGCAGCUCACAAAGCUUUGGCAAAUAGAUAUUAGACAGAAGGAGACAGGCCUUGAGUUUUUUGGUGAAUGAAGUAGUCACAAGCUGAAUCUUUUCCAUGGGCACAGUUGUGCUGGCCUCACCAUGGCUAGCAUGGAUUUUCAGUGCCAAAUACACCCAGUUUGCACCCAAACCAGGUUGUUGGUCCUUCUGAGAGCCAGCCACCUCUGACAGCCACAGGAAUGGGGGAAGGAGAGAGGCUGAUGGUGGGGAAGAAACCUGGGAUGUGUCUCCUGCCCAGGAUGUUCCUGGUUGAUAUCAACAUCCUCUCCCCAUUCUGCAGCUGUAGGGUUACCUCCCUGUCUCAGAGGUAAGGCCAGACAUAUGGACAAGAGCUCCCAGCAGCUUGGUUCUCCAUAUUGAGAAUUUCACAAAGGUCUACAGAAUUUUCCAAAUAGAUUUUUUUCCCUGUGAGUUUUUAAAUUAAGCUUCUUCAAUCUCAACUCAUGUUAAACAUUUUUCUUUUCUUUUUUGGCAAAAGAAGUAUUAUGAUCAGGAGGAAUAAAACUGGUUUUACCUGGAGCUACCUUCAUUUUAUAACAGAUUAUAAACAAGAUACAGAGUCAAUAAUACCAGGAAGGGGGGUCAGGGGAUGAAUACAAUGCUGUGCUGAAGGCAGCACAGAAAAGAUUGGAAUCUGAAAAGACAAAAGCUUACCAGGAUUGAGCCUCAAAAGCAGAAUCAGCUCCUCUGAUGAUAUGAAUUGCCUGGA